GGUUCUUCCUCCAACCAGGUGUGCACGGACCUGCACAAGCACCCACUGCAGGACACGGGCGUGACAGGAAGGGUUGGGCAGGUCCUUCAAAACAUUAAACAGCUGUUUAAGGCCGAGCUCUGCUGAUGAUGGGUGAGCACCAGUUGGAGAGGAUGGGGGGUGAAGGGGGAGCAUCUUCAGGACAUCCUACUGGACCAUCUUUGCCUCAGGGUCCAGGAGGAACUGGAGAACCUCAACAACAUCUUCUCUGGAAAUCCUGUCUG
rnacentral:lncRNA from 1 species